rnacentral:rRNA from 1 species
AGUGAACGCUGGCGGUAGGCCUAACACGUGCAAGUCGAACGGCAACACAGUAAGAGCUUGCUCUUACGGGUGGCGAGUGGCGGACGGGUGAGGAAUACAUCGGAAUCUACUUUUUCGUGGGGGAUAACGUAGGGACACUUACGCUAAUACCGCAUAUGACCUACGGGAGAAAGCAGGGGAUCUUCGGACCUUGCCCGAUUGAAUGAGCCGAUGUCGGGUUAGCUAGUUGGCGGGGUAAAGGCCCACCAAGGCGACGAUCCGUAGCUGAUCUGAGAGGAUGAUCAGCCACACUGGAACUGAGACACGGUCCAGACUCCUACGGGAGGCAGCAGUAGGGAAUAUUGGGCAAUGGGCGAAAGCCUGAUCCAGCCAUGCCGCGUGGGUGAAGAAGGCCUUCGGGUUGUAAAGCCCUUUUGUUGGGAAAGAAAAGCAGCAGGUUAAUACCCCGCUGUUCUGACGGUACCCAAAGAAUAAGCACCGGCUAACUUCGUG